UUAUGUUAAGGGCAAACUAAAGGAAACUUUAGGACGCAAAGCUAUAGGGGCUUCAUCGAAGUUGCGAUAUGCUAGCCAGUUACCGAA
rnacentral:ncRNA from 1 species